GAGCUCGUAGGCGGUUUGUCGCGUCUGCUGUGAAAUCUGGGGGCUCAACCCCCAGCCUGCAGUGGGUACGGGCAGACUAGAGUGCGGUAGGGGAGAUUGGAAUUCCUGGUGUAGCGGUGGAAUGCGCAGAUAUCAGGAGGAACACCGAUGGCGAAGGCAGAUCUCUGGGCCGUAACUGACGCUGAGGAGCGAAAGCAUGGGGAGCGAACAGGAUUAGAUACCCUGGUAGUCCAUGCCGUAAACGUUGGGAACUAGAUGUGGGGGCCAUUCCACGGUCUCCGUGUCGCAGCUAACGCAUUAAGUUCCCCGCCUGGGGAGUACGGCCGCAAGGCUAAAACUCAAAGGAAUUGACGGGGGCCCGCACAAGCGGCGGAGCAUGCGGAUUAAUUCGAUGCAACGCGAAGAACCUUACCAAGGCUUGACAUAUACCGGAAACGUCCAGAGAUGGUCGCCCCGCAAGGUCGGUAUACAGGUGGUGCAUGGUUGUCGUCAGCUCGUGUCGUGAGAUGUUGGGUUAAGUCCCGCAACGAGCGCAACCCUCGUUCUAUGUUGCCAGCACGUUAUGGUGGGAACUCAUAGGAGACUGCCGGGGUCAACUCGGAGGAAGGUGGGGAUGACGUCAAAUCAUCAUGCCCCUUAUGUCUUGGGCUUCACGCAUGCUACAAUGGCCGGUACAAAGGGCUGCGAUACCGUAAGGUGGAGCGAAUCCCAAAAAGCCGGUCUCAGUUCGGAUUGAGGUCUGCAACUCGACCUCAUGAAGUCGGAGUCGCUAGUAAUCGCAGAUCAGCAACGCUGCGGUGAAUACGUUCCCGGGCCUUGUACACACCGCCCGUCAAGUCAUGAAAGUCGGUAACACCCGAAGCCAGUGGCCUAACCCUUGUGGAUGGAGCUGUCGAAAGUGGGAUCGGUGAUUAGGACGAAGUCGUA
rnacentral:rRNA from 1 species